UGGCGCAAGCCUGAUGCAGCCAUGCCGCGUGUAUGAAGAAGGCCUUCGGUUGUAAGUACUUUCAGCAGUGAGGAAGGUGGGUAUGUUAAUAGCAUACUCAUUUGACGUUAGCUGCAGAAGAAGCACCGGCUAACUCCGUGCCAGCAGCCGCGGUAAUACGGAGGGUGCGAGCGUUAAUCGGAAUUACUGGGCGUAAAGCGCAUGCAGGUGGUUUGUUAAGUCAGAUGUGAAAGCCCGGGGCUCAACCUCGGAAUUGCAUUUGAAACUGGCAAACUAGAGUACUGUAGAGGGGGUAGAAUUUCAGGUGUAGCGGUGAAAUGCGUAGAGAUCUGAAGGAAUACCGGUGGCGAAGGCGGCCCCCUGGACAGAUACUGACACUCAGAUGCGAAAGCGUGGGGAGCAAACAGGAUUAGAUACCCUGGUAG
rnacentral:rRNA from 1 species